CCUACGGGAGGCAGCAGUGGGGAAUUUUGGACAAUGGGCGCAAGCCUGAUCCAGCAAUGCCGCGUGAGUGAAGAAGGCCUUCGGGUUGUAAAGCUCUUUUGUCAGGGAAGAAACGGCUGAGGUUAAUACCUUUGGCUAAUGACGGUACCUGAAGAAUAAGCACCGGCUAACUACGUGCCAGCAGCCGCGGUAAUACGUAGGGUGCAAGCGUUAAUCGGAAUUACUGGGCGUAAAGCGUGCGCAGGCGGUUUUGUAAGUCUGUCGUGAAAGCCCCGGGCUCAACCUGGGAAUUGCGAUGGAGACUGCAAGGCUUGAAUCUGGCAGAGGGGGGUAGAAUUCCACGUGUAGCAGUGAAAUGCGUAGAGAUGUGGAGGAACACCGAUGGCGAAGGCAGCCCCCUGGGUCAAGAUUGACGCUCAUGCACGAAAGCGUGGGGAGCAAACAGGAUUAGAUACCCUGGUAGUCCACGCCCUAAACGAUGUCUACUAGUUGUCGGGUUUUAAUUAACUUGGUAACGCAGCUAACGCGUGAAGUAGACCGCCUGGGGAGGUACGGUCGCGAAGUAAGUUAAACGUUAAAGGUUAAAGUUAGUUACGGUUCGUGAGACGUUGCGACGGACGACGACGAGGGAGGAGG
rnacentral:rRNA from 1 species